rnacentral:misc_RNA from 1 species
UGGAGGCUUCAUCAUACCUAAAGGACAAAUUCCUAACUGGUGGGAGUGGGCUUAUUGGAUUUCACCUUUGUCUUAUGGUUACAAUGCCUUUGCUGUAAAUGAAUUGUAUGCUCCAAGAUGGAUGAACAGACUCGCUUCAGACAAUAGUACAAGAUUAGGCAUAGCAAUGCUUGAGAGCAUCGAUGUUUUCCGCGACAAGAACUGGUAUUGGAUUGGUG